rnacentral:rRNA from 2 species
GAUUGGUGCUUGCAUCAUGAUUUACAUUUGAGUGAGUGGCGAACUGGUGAGUAACACGUGGGAAACCUGCCCAGAAGCGGGGGAUAACACCUGGAAACAGAUGCUAAUACCGCAUAACAACUUGGACCGCAUGGUCCGAGUUUGAAAGAUGGCUUCGGCUAUCACUUUUGGAUGGUCCCGCGGCGUAUUAGCUAGAUGGUGGGGUAACGGCUCACCAUGGCAAUGAUACGUAGCCGACCUGAGAGGGUAAUCGGCCACAUUGGGACUGAGACACGGCCCAAACUCCUACGGGAGGCAGCAGUAGGGAAUCUUCCACAAUGGACGAAAGUCUGAUGGAGCAACGCCGCGUGAGUGAAGAAGGGUUUCGGCUCGUAAAACUCUGUUGUUAAAGAAGAACAUAUCUGAGAGUAACUGUUCAGGUAUUGACGGUAUUUAACCAGAAAGCCACGGCUAACUACGUGCCAGCAGCCGCGGUAAUACGUAGGUGGCAAGCGUUGUCCGGAUUUAUUGGGCGUAAAGCGAGCGCAGGCGGUUUUUUAAGUCUGAUGUGAAAGCCUUCGGCUCAACCGAAGAAGUGCAUCGGAAACUGGGAAACUUGAGUGCAGAAGAGGACAGUGGAACUCCAUGUGUAGCGGUGAAAUGCGUAGAUAUAUGGAAGAACACCAGUGGCGAAGGCGGCUGUCUGGUCUGUAACUGACGCUGAGGCUCGAAAGUAUGGGUAGCAAACAGGAUUAGAUACCCUGGUAGUCCAUACCGUAAACGAUGAAUGCUAAGUGUUGGAGGGUUUCCGCCCUUCAGUGCUGCAGCUAACGCAUUAAGCAUUCCGCCUGGGGAGUACGGCCGCAAGGCUGAAACUCAAAGGAAUUGACGGGGGCCCGCACAAGCGGUGGAGCAUGUGGUUUAAUUCGAAGCUACGCGAAGAACCUUACCAGGUCUUGACAUACUAUGCAAAUCUAAGAGAUUAGACGUUCCCUUCGGGGACAUGGAUACAGGUGGUGCAUGGUUGUCGUCAGCUCGUGUCGUGAGAUGUUGGGUUAAGUCCCGCAACGAGCGCAACCCUUAUUAUCAGUUGCCAGCAUUAAGUUGGGCACUCUGGUGAGACUGCCGGUGACAAACCGGAGGAAGGUGGGGAUGACGUCAAAUCAUCAUGCCCCUUAUGACCUGGGCUACACACGUGCUACAAUGGAUGGUACAACGAGUUGCGAACUCGCGAGAGUAAGCUAAUCUCUUAAAGCCAUUCUCAGUUCGGAUUGUAGGCUGCAACUCGCCUACAUGAAGUCGGAAUCGCUAGUAAUCGCGGAUCAGCAUGCCGCGGUGAAUACGUUCCCGGGCCUUGUACACACCGCCCGUCACACCAUGAGAGUUUGUAACACCCAAAGUCGGUGGGGUAACCUU